CAGCUUCAUGUUAUGGUCAGAAAGGCAAAAGUUUUUAAUGAGGAAGAACAGACAAUAUAGGAGAAGCUGCAGCAGCUUGGUUUUGCCUGUGCCUAUGAGGAAUGAUUUUAGCCAAUGCUGAGAACUCUCACCAACUCACAGCAAGUUCGGAAACAGAACAGAACAGGAGGGGAUCUCAAUCAGAUGAAAAUACAGUUGUUUAUUUAGAAAGCCAGCAGCCUGAGAAGAAAUUCACAUUCCAAGAGAUUCUGGGGUCCAGAAAAAAAGAUGUAACACAAGAUGUGCAAGUUUUCCAUGUCCAGAUGACAUCCACCUCUGAGAAGAAACAACUGACUUACAACUGAUUUUAUGAACUAUUUAAUAAUGUACAGUACUAACUGGACAUAAAGGAGAACAUGGAAAAGUUACUUUUUGGACUACAGCUCUUGGAAUUAACCAAGCUACAGGCUGUGCUGACUCCUACAGAGAGC